CGUAUAUAGUAUAGAAUGACAUGUACUUACAUACCAAAAGAUUUUGUUCAACUGCAAAGGAACUGAGUUCAGAAUAGAAAAUGUGAUCCAGAGCAUAUUGGUUGAUUUUAUAUGAGACUUUAGAUUAAUAGCAGCAUCAACUGGGGCCUUUAUGACUCUAUUAUGUAAUUAAUUAUUCUCUUUUUGUUUUUGUACUGUUAAAAGGAGUCGGCCACACGGAAUAAAAAGUAAGGAUGGGAGCCAUCUUAUUUCAUACAAUUUUUCAAAAGUGUUCAUUCAUCCCAUUGUUCUUCAACAAUGAAGGAAUUUAUUUUCCCUAUCUGCCUGGUCCGUCUGCUGCUUCAUUGCCUAGCAGCUUUAUCUAUAUGGUUGCGGCGGGUUAAGGAGGCAUAGGAGGGUCUUUGAUGAUAUGAAGUGAGAGGUAGUGUGGAUCAGUUGUGGAAGAGGGUUCAGGGAGUUUUCUUUCUCUGUCAUCUAUUCAAAUAGUUUAGGGGGAGAUUGGCUACUCUCACCACCAGCGCUGGGGCGUACCCACAACCUUGAGCCGGAAGGACUUAUGCAUGGCACCCAACUGACAGCUGCCACAG